GCCAGGUGUAGUGAUGGGCGCCUGUAAUCCCAGCUACUUGGGAGGCUGAGGCAGGAGAAUCGCUUGAACCCAGGAGGCGGAGGUUGCAGUGAGCCGAGAUCACGCCAUUGCACUCCAACCUGGGCAACAAAGCGAGACCCUGUCUCAA
rnacentral:SRP_RNA from 1 species